AGGACGAACGCUGGCGGCGUGCCUAACACAUGCAAGUGGAGCGACGAACCAGGCUUCGGCCUGGGGCAGAGCCGCGAACGGGUGAGUAACACGUGGGUAACCUGCCCUGAUGAUUGGGACAACCCGAGGAAACUCGGGCUAAUACCGAAUGUGCCCUCCGGCCUCAAGGCCGUUGGGGAAAGGAAGCUUCGGCCUCCGCAUCGGGAUGGGCCCGCGGCCCAUUAGCUUGUUGGUGAGGUAACGGCUCACCAAGGCAACGAUGGGUAGCUGGUCUGAGAGGACGAUCAGCCACACUGGGACUGAGACACGGCCCAGACUCCUACGGGAGGCAGCAGUGGGGAAUAUUGCGCAAUGGGCGAAAGCCUGACGCAGCGACGCCGCGUGGGGAUGAAGGCCUUCGGGUUGUAACCCUUUCGGCAGGGACGAAGCGAAGUGACGGUACCUGCAGAAGAAGCGCCGGCUAACUACGUGCCAGCAGCCGC
rnacentral:rRNA from 1 species